GGGUGAGUAAUAUAUCGGAACGUGCCCAGUCGUGGGGGAUAACGCAGCGAAAGCUGUGCUAAUACCGCAUACGAUCUCUGGAUGAAAGCGGGGGACUCGCAAGAGCCUCGCGCGAUUGGAGCGGCCGAUAUCAGAUUAGCUAGUUGGCGGGGUAAAAGCCCACCAAGGCGACGAUCUGUAGCUGGUCUGAGAGGACGACCAGCCACACUGGAACUGAGACACGGUCCAGACUCCUACGGGAGGCAGCAGUGGGGAAUUUUGGACAAUGGGCGAAAGCCUGAUCCAGCAAUGCCGCGUGCAGGAUGAAGGCCUUCGGGUUGUAAACUGCUUUUGUACGGAACGAAACGGUCUGCCUUAAUACGGUGGGCUAAUGACGGUACCGUAAGAAUAAGCACCGGCUAACUACGUGCCAGCAGCCGCGGUAAUACGUAGGGUGCGAGCGUUAAUCGGAAUUACUGGGCGUAAAGCGUGCGCAGGCGGUUAUAUAAGACAGGUGUGAAAUCCCCGGGCCCAACCUGGGACCUGCAUUUGUGACUGUAUAGCUAGAGUACGGUAGAGGGGGAUGGAAUUCCGCGUGUAGCAGUGAAAUGCGUAGAUAUGCGGAGGAACACCGAUGGCGAAGGCAAUCCCCUGGACCUGUACUGACGC
rnacentral:rRNA from 1 species